rnacentral:rRNA from 1 species
UACGGGGGGGGCAAGCGUUGUUCGGAAUUACUGGGCGUAAAGGGCUCGUAGGUGGCCAACUAAGUCAGACGUGAAAUCCCUCGGCUUAACCGGGGAACUGCGUCUGAUACUGGAUGGCUUGAGUUUGGGAGAGGGAUGCGGAAUUCCAGGUGUAGCGGUGAAAUGCGUAGAUAUCUGGAGGAACACCGGUGGCGAAGGCGGCAUCCUGGACCGGUAUUGACGCUGAUGCGCGAAAGCCAGGGGAGCAAACGGG